rnacentral:misc_RNA from 1 species
UCUCCGUUGGUGAACCAGCGGAGGGAUCAUUACAGAGUAUAAAAACUCCCAAACCCAUGUGAACAUACCUAUCGUUGCUUCGGCGGGAACGCCCCGGGCCUCUGCGUCCGGAACCAGGCGCCCGCCGGAGGCCACAAACUCUUGCAUUAUCGUGUCUUGUCUGAGUAUGAAAAAACAAAUGAAUCAAAACUUUCAACAACGGAUCUCUUGGUUCUG